rnacentral:rRNA from 1 species
UACGGGGGGGGUAAGCGUUGUUCGGAAUUACUGGGCGUAAAGGGCUCGUAGGCGGUCUGUCACGUCGGGAGUGAAAACUCGGGGCUUAACUCCGAGCCUGCUUCUGAUACGGGCAGACUAGAGGUAUGCAGGGGAGAAUGGAAUUCCUGGUGUAGCGGUGAAAUGCGCAGAUAUCAGGAGGAACACCGGUGGCGAAGGCGGUUCUCUGGGCAUGACCUGACGCUGAGGAGCGAAAGUGUGGGGAGCGAACAGG